GAUGAGAGUACUGUAUGAAUAAGGAUCGGCUAACUCCGUGCCAGCAGCCGCGGUAAUACGGAGGAUCCGAGCGUUAUCCGGAAUUAUUGGGUUUAAAGGGUGCGUAGGCGGCCAUUUAAGUCAGCGGUGAAAUUUUGCAGCUUAACUGUAACAGUGCCGUUGAUACUGUUCGGCUAGGAUUUGGUUGUAGUGUGCGGAAUGUGUGGUGUAGCGGUGAAAUGCUUAGAUAUCACACAGAACACCGAUUGCGAAGGCAUCACACUAAGUCAUUAUUGACGCUGAGGCACGAAAGUGUGGGGAUCAAACAGGAUUAGAUACCCUGGUAGUCCACACUGUAAACGAUGAUAACUCGCUGUCGGCGAUACACAGUCGGUGGCCAAGCGAAAGCAUUAAGUUAUCCACCUGGGGAGUACGACCGCAAGGUUGAAACUCAAAGGAAUUGACGGGGGCCCGCACAAGCGGAGGAACAUGUGGUUUAAUUCGAUGAUACGCGAGGAACCUUACCUGGGCUUAAAUGUAUAGUGCAUAAUAUGGAAACAUAUUUUUCCUUCGGGACUCUUUACAAGGUGCUGCAUGGUUGUCGUCAGCUCGUGCCGUGAGGUGUCGGGUUAAGUCCCAUAACGAGCGCAACCCUCAUCGCCAGUUGCCAGCAUGUAAUGAUGGGGACUCUGGUGAAACUGCCGGUGUAAACCGUGAGGAAGGUGGGGAUGACGUCAAAUCAGCACGGCCCUUAUGUCCAGGGCUACACACGUGUUACAAUGGCCAAUACAAAGGGCAGCCACCCGGCGACGGGGUGCUAAUCCAUAAAGUUGGUCUUAGUUCGGAUCGGAGUCUGCAACUCGACUCCGUGAAGCUGGAUUCGCUAGUAAUCGUAGAUCAGCCAUGCUACGGUGAAUACGUUCCCGGGCCUUGUACACACCGCCCGUCAAG
rnacentral:rRNA from 1 species